rnacentral:lncRNA from 10 species
AGAGGAUUCUGUUUAGAUUGGAUUUAGAGUCAUCAAAGCCAUUCUCUACUUUGAAAGUGCUUUCACACCUCAUUCAUCCUUACAACUUUUCAGAUGAGGAAGCUCCUUAAACUCUGAAAAAUGGAGAGAUAAGAAAUGGGUCCAAGUUCGCACAGCUAGAAGAAAAAGUUUCUCACAGUUUUCUCCUUGCACGAAGUGGAAGAUGAGGAAUAAUCCUGGAUGUACUGGAUCCUCUAUUAGAGAUGGCAGCUGUUACCACCUAACGAUCAUUCUAAUUCCUUACAGCCAGUGCUAUGCAUUUCAAAAGAUUCCCUUCCACCUAUAAAAUUCCAUGAGAGAUUGGUAGCGUGGGCAGUGUUAAAUUAGCAAUCGGUGAAGAAUCUGAAGCUAAGUAUAGGGCAGCAACUUGCUGGAGAUGACAAACUAGUGAUCUAGGAACCAGGAGUUGAACCCUGGUCUUUCAAAUAGUAGUAGGAUUACAAAAGCCGUUGGCAUUUUAGAGAAAAUAAACUGAUGUAGAUCAAUGCUGUUCAACAGAAACUUCAUGGGAGCCACACGUGUAAGUUAAACAUUUUCCACAUUUAACACAAAUUAGCCACAUUCACAAAGCAAAAGGAAACAGGUGAAAUUAAUGGUUUUUUAAUGCCAAUAUAUUAAAAUAUUAUCAUCUCAACAUACAGUCAAUAUAAAAAUUUUUCAUGAGCUAUUUUACAUGCUUUGUUGUACAUAGAGGACAUCUGAAUUUGAACUGGCCCCAUGUCAAGUGUGCAAUAGCUACAUGUGGCUGAUGACUGCCAGACAAGCCAGCAUAUAGGUAAAGGAGGAAGAAUAAGACAAUAGGCUGCAUUUACAAAUCAAGUGAGAUUUCCUUCAAAAAAAGAAAUUGUGUUGCAGUGUUUCACCAGAAAUGGAGCUAAGGAAAGUCAGCAUCAACCCUUCUUUAGGCCCCAAAAUGUGGAAUUCAAAGCCGUGGUACUGUACUACAUCACAGGUCACCCAGGAAAACAAUAUCUAGCCCUCAAUAAUAGAAGCAAUGCCUGGAAAGGUUAUGGACAAGCUGCUCCCUGCGGGAUGGAAGCAGGGACAGACAUACUGGGGGCUUAUAAAGCCUCUGUCAAUAAGAAACCGGGCUCCACAAUAAUUUUAAACCACAGUGAGCCUGACAGGAAACUGACCUAGUAAACCAGACAAAUUACUGCUGCAGCCAGGCCAGCCUGCCUCCCACUCCAACCCGCAGUGAAACUUGAGCUGUUUGAAAGCUUUCUGGAGGGUGAGAGAGAAGAGGCAUGCGGAGAGACCAUGAGUGCUCUGGACAGCCUGAAUCCUGAGCCCUGGAGGUCUAGGUCACUGUCAUUUCCCUAUGGGAGCAAGUACACAGGGGUGUGCACUUGAGGGCAGUCCAUCCUGAUUUGCUGGGUGUCUCUGAACUGGCUGGUUCCCCUCUCUGUCCUCUCCCUCACCCUGACAGAAGGUGACUAUAAUAAUGCCUGCUCAUCUGGGACCACAUUCUUUAAGUUCGUGACCUCCUCCGAUAGCAAAAGACCGUUGUCAUAAUAUUUAAGCUACAUUGGGAUAAAGUGUCCAGUGGACUCCCAUUAGAAUCCUUGGAAAAAGCCAGAGGUAUCAUACUUGUAGCACACUUCGAAAUGUGCUGUAAGACUACAGUAACCAAAACAGCAUAGUACUGGUAAGAAAAAGGAUACCUAGACCAAUGGAACAGAAUAAAGAACCCAGAAAUAAAGCCACACGCUUACAGCUAUCUGAUCUUCGGCAAAGUCAACAAAAAUAAGCAGUGGGGAAAAGACUGACUAUUCAAUAAAUGGGCUGGGAUAGCUGGCUAGCCAUAUGCAGAAGAAUGAAACUGGACCCCUACCUUUUACCGUAUGCAAAAAAUAACUCAAGAUGAAUCAAAGAUUUAAAUGUAAGACCUGAAACUAUAAGACUCCUGGAAGAAAACCUAGGAAACACCAUUCUGGACAUCAGUUUUGGGAAAUAAUUUACGACUAAGUCCUCAGAAGCAAUUGCAACAGAAAGUAAAAUUGACAAGUGAGAGCUAAUUAAACUGAAGAGCUUCUGCACAGCAAAAGAAACUAUCAACAGAGUAAACAAACAACCUACAGAAUGAGAGAAAAUAUCCACUACUAUGCAUCCUACAAAGGUCUAAUGUCCAGAAUCCAUAAGGAAAUUAAACAACUCAGCAAGCAAAAAACAAAGAGCCCCAUUAAAAAGUGGACAAAAGACAUGAACAGACACUUCUCAAAAGAAGACAUAUGAGCAACAAACAAGUUUAUAUAAAAGUUCUCAACAUCACUAAUCAUCAGAGAAAUACAAAACAAAACCACAAGGUGAUACCAUCUCACACCAGUCAGAAUGGCUAUUAUUAAAAAGUCAAAAAACAACAGAUGCUAGUGAGGCUGUGGAGAAAAGAGAAUACUUAGACACUAUUGGUAGGAAUGUAAAUUAGUUCAGCAACUGUGGAAAGCAGUUUGGAGGUUUCUCAAAGAACUUAGAACAGAAUGACCAUUCAACCUAGCAAUCCCAUUACUGGGUAUAUACCCAAAGGAAAAUAACUUGUUCUUUCCAGAAGGACAUUGGCACUCCCAUGUUUAUUGUGUGCUAUUCACAAUAGCAAAGACAUGGAAUCAACCUAAGUUCCCAUCUACAGUGGACUGGAUAAAGAAAAUGUGGGACAUAUACACUACAGAAUACUAUGUGGCCAUAAAAAAGAAUGAAAUUGGCCAGGCAUGGUGGCUCAUGCCUGUAAUCUCAGCACUUUGGGAGGCUGAGCGGGGUGGAUCGCCUGAGGUCAGGAGUUCGAGACCAGACUGGCCAACAUAGUGAAACCCCGUCUGUACUAAAAAUACAAAAAAUUAUCUGGGCGUGGUGGCAGGUAACUGUAAUCCCAUCUACUUGGGAGGUUGAGGCAGGAGAAUCGCUUAAACCUGGGAGGUGGAGGUUGCAGUGAGCCAAGAUAGCGCCAUUACACUCCGAUCCGGCAACAAGAGCGAAACUCCAUCUCGAAGAAAAAAGAAAAAAAACAAGAAUGAAAUCAUGUCCUCUGCAGCAGCAUGAAUGCAGCUGGAGGCCAUUAUCCUAAGCAAAUUAACACAGGAAAAGAAAACCAGAUAGUACAUGUUCUUAGUUAUAAGUGGGAGCUAAACACAGGUACUCAUGGACAUAAAGAUGGCAACAAUAUACACUGGGGACUAUUAGAGGGUGGAAGGAGAUGGGGAGGGUUGAAAAACCAACUAUUGGCUACCAUGCUCAUUACCUGAGUGAUAGGAUCAAUCGUUCCCCAAACCUCAGCAUCACACAAUAUACUCAUGUAGCAAGCCUGCACAUGUACCCUCUGAAUCUAAAAUAGAAGUUGAAAUCAUUUUUUAAAAAAAGAAAUUGAAAAAAGAAUCCUUGGGACUCGAUUCCUGGCAAGAAGGCUAUAGGGAUGCAGAAGAAACCACUGGAAAACAAAAGUUAUAAUAUAAAAGUGUAAAAAUAGAUUUGGAGGGCAUCAGAAGGUCCAAGUGGGUAGGAAACGGCCUUUUUGUCUGGAGUUUACUCCACUUCUAUCCCCUUUGUAGACAGGAAACCUG